GGAUACCAGCCACUGCAGGAAGCAGCAGAGUAACCAAGAAAGUCAAACCAGUUCCUUGGAUCGUCCAAAGUACAUGGAUGGAGUUGCUUUCCAGGAAGAAGCAAUCAUAGUGCUGAAAAAUCUUUCAAAGGUGCUGAUCUUCCUAAACUUUUAUUCUAUGGGCCACCUGGAACUGGCAAAAGACCCACCAAUUUGGCAUGGGCCCAAACACUUUCAAUUAACAUGCAUCUUAUGAACACGGAAUACAAGUAGUCUGUGAAAAAGUGGAAAGUUUUGCUCACUUAACUGUGUUAGCAAGCUGUUCAAAUGGAGAACCAUGCACUUCCUUUAAGCUUGUAAUUCUGGAUGAAGAGAUCCUCUGUUUUGACACCAGCUGCUCAGGCAGCUUUAAGAUGCACCAUGGGGAAAAAAAGUCUAAACCAAAUUCUUCCUCAUCUGUAACUUCACCAGUUGAAUAAUUGAAUCCCUCACUUCUAGAUGUUCAAAAUUUUGCUUCAAGAUCCUGUCAGAUAAAAUUCAGCAAAAGUGAUUACUGGAUAUCGCUGAGAAGGAAAGUGUCAAAAUUGGCAAUGAGGGGAUAGCUUAUCUUGUUGAAAUAUCAGAAGAAGAUUUAUGGAAAGCCAUAAUAUUUCUUCAAAGUUCUACUGGACUAGAAAGUAGAAAUGGAAGUCAUAGAAGACGUGAACACAGACAUUGCUGGGGUAAUACCAGCUAAAACCAUUAAUGGACUAUUCAUCGAAUGUCAGACUGGCUCUUUUGACAAACCAGAAGCUGUAGUAAAGGAUCUAAUAAAUCAAGGACACUCAACUACUCAGUCUGUCAAUGAGCAUGAUUAUUAUUACAUGGUUACAUUAAAAAACAACUCUCUGAAGUCCAUUAUUACAGAAAAAUGUGCUGAAGUGGAUAAAUGUUUAGCAGAUGAUGCAAUUGGACACCUGUAGUUGAGCCCUUGUAUAGCUGUAAUGUAGCAGCCGACUCC
rnacentral:lncRNA from 1 species